rnacentral:rRNA from 1 species
GAUGAACGCUGGCGGCGUGCUUAACACAUGCAAGUCGAACGGACAGGCCCUGCUCUUGCGGGGUGCUUGAGUGGCGAACGGGUGAGUAACACGUGUGUAACACGCCCUUGACUUUGGGAUAACUUCUGGAAACUGGGGCUCAUAUCGGAUAGGAGCUCCUGCUGCACGGUGGGGGUUGGAGAGAUUCGGCGGUUUGGGAUGGUCUCGCGGCUUACCCGCUGCUUGGUGGAGUUGGGCCUUACAAGGCUUACGACGGGAAGCCGGCCUGGGAGGGUGACCGGCCACAUUGGGACUGAGGUACGGCCCAGACUCCUACGUGAGGCAGCAGUGGAGAAUAUUACACAAUGGGCGGGAGCCUGAUGCGGCAGCGCCGCGUGCGGGAUGACGGCCUUCGGGUUGUAAACCGCUUUCGCCUGUGACGAGGCGUGAGUGACGGUAAUGAGUAAAGAAGCACCGGCUAACUACGUG